AUUGGAUACAGGAUGUGUAGGAUAGGUGGGAGGCUUUGAAGCAGGUGCGCCAGCAUUUGUGGAGCCAACGUUGAAAUACCACCCUUUCUGUAUUCGGUGUCUAACUCCGCUGGUCGGAGGACAUUGUUUGAUGGGUAGUUUGACUGGGGUGGUCGCCUCCAAAAAGGUAACGGAGGCUUUCAAAGGUAAGCUCAGUACGCUUGGUAACCGUACGGGGAGUGCAAUAGCAUAAGCUUGCUUGACUGUGAGGCAAACAAGCCGAUCAGGGUCGAAAGACGGAUAUAGUGAUCCGGUGGUUCUGCAUGGAAGGGCCAUCGCUCAAAGGAUAAAAGGUACGCUGGGGAUAACAGGCUGAUCUCCCCCAAGAGCUCAUAUCGACGGGGAGGUUUGGCACCUCGAUGUCGGCUCGUCACAUCCUGGGGCUGGAGAAGGUCCCAAGGGUUCGGCUGUUCGCCGAUUAAAGUGGCACGCGAGCUGGGUUCAGAACGUCGCGAGACAGUUCGGUCCCUAUCUGUUGUGGGCGUAGGAAUUUUGAGUGGGGCUGACCUUAGUACGAGAGGACCGGGUUGGACUAGCCUCUAGUGAAUCUGUUGUUCCGCCAGGGGCAUUGCAGAGUAGCUACGCUGGGAAUAGAUAAGCGCUGAAAGCAUCUAAGUGCGAAACUAGCCACGAGAUGAGAAUUCCAUAUCAGGACCGUAGCAGACUACUACGUUGAUAGGUCACAGAUGUAAAGGUGGUAACAUCAAAGUCGAGUGAUACUAAUCGUCCGAAGCUUUUUUC
rnacentral:rRNA from 1 species